UGCUUUACAACCAGUGGACAUCUCAAAACAACUGUGCUGUCUAGGAGCCCUUCUGCCUAACACAGGCUUUGACAGACCAACCUUGCAUUGCUGCCCUGAUCUUCCUGACAUUUGGUUGGUCACUUGGCGAAUAAUUAUAUAUUUACGAUCCCUACAAGUUUAGUGGACCGAUUUUAGGAAAGCAUUAGGACAAUUGCAAAGGAGGAGACUAAGAGUUGAACAAAUCACAAAAUAACCUUGGUCUAUUUGAAGUUGCCUUUCUUGAUUAGAAUGCAUAAGCAACACAGAAGUAUGUCUGGACUCUAUCUAAACAAAGCUUUCUGACAACAUAAAUCCAGAAUGAUAAAUCAUUCAGACAGGAGAAAUCUUUUGAACUGCGAACAGACAGGAAAAGAACAGAACAGAAAGAGGCACAGAGAGAAAGGAAAACACGUUGGAAAGAUUCUGGUGAUGAGACAGGAAUAAACAAAUGAGACUUAAAAAUCAAACGUGCAGCUUCUUUCCAGCAACGCAUGUACAUUCGCGCCCAGUCCCUGCAGCGGGAAAGAAUUUUAAACGUGAUCUUCUGAAGUCCGACCACUUCAUUUUACAGAUGAGGAAUCUGAGUCCCAGGAAGGAAAGGAGUGUGUUCAAUGGAACACAACUGAAUUCUCUUUCUACUUCUGUUGAAACCAUGCAAUGAUCUGCCAAAGAGAGGUGUAAAGCCACAAAUCCUAGAAAACAAAAUCUGACUUUAAAAUUGAGUCUCUUUAACGAUGAUUCUUGUUUUCAGGCACAUAUUAUUUUGAGCCACUAUGCUAGCUUAGAAGGCCUCCUCUGCUGCAGGCAUGAAUAUUAAUCAUGUAAGUUAUAGAUCUGUGCUGUCCAAUACAGUAGCCACUAGCCACAUGUGACUAUUAAAGUAUAAAUUAAAAUUAAAUUAAAAAUUUAGUUCCUCAGUUACCUGAGUCAUGAUUCAAGGGCCCAACAGCUAUAUGUGGCUGGCGCCUACUAUACUGACCAGGGCACACAUACAAUGUUCUACCAUUGCUGAAACCUCUCUUGGAUAGCUGUGUUAGAGAUUAUUAACUGUAGGGAGUAUGAAGAGAAGGCAACACAAGGUCAGGGACAUAGUGUGAUGGGCUAAUUCAGUGCAUAGUGAGUGACUAAAAGCAUUCGUCUCAUAAUUUACAUGGGUUUAUAAGCAAGUUUACA